CGGACCGGCGCACGGGUGAGUAACGCGUAUGUAAUCUACCUGUAACAGAGGGAUAACCCGGAGAAAUCCGGACUAAUACCUCAUAGCACAUAUUAUUCGCAUGAAUUUUAUGUUAAAGAGACUCGGUUACAGAUGAACAUGCGUUCCAUUAGCUAGUUGGCGGGUUACGGCCCACCAAGGCAACGAUGGAUAGGGGUUCUGAGAGGAAGGUCCCCCACACUGGUACUGAGACACGGACCAG
rnacentral:rRNA from 1 species